UGAAAAAAUUAAUCAAAAAUUGUUGGUACAACGAAAAUGACACCAAACUACCCAUCAAUCUCAACAUUCUUUGAAAUUCGUUACAUUUCUCAAUGUUUUCUUUAUUUUGUGCAGCUCAAUUUGUGUCCACAAGAUAACAGGGCCGUUGUCAAUCAACCAAUGAGGAUGCACAAAGUGGGAAAAAACUAUUUGCCGUUAGACAAAUUCUACACAAGUUGACAAACAAAAUGGAAGCAUGGAGAAGAACAUGAGAGAUGCUUCUUGUUACCCUCGGAAUCUUCACUUGGAUCAGGUUUAUUGCUUUGUUAGAGCAGUAGAGGUGAUUGAUCAAAGAAAAGUUGGAUAUUUUGGUCUUACUGAUUUCCUAUUUUUUGAGGUGCCUGACCGAAAGUACAUGUUGUUUGGAGGAAUGAAUGAAAGAUUAUAAAAUGGAUGAUGGGGAGGUAGAGGUUUCGGAUCAUGUUUUGUUACCGGAUCCCGGUGCUUCUGGAAGUUUGCAGUGUUCUGGGUCUGUGGAUUCACUUCUCGAUGAAUUAUUGAAGAAUACGAGAACAUGCACUCACACUCACACUUGCAACCCUCCUGGCCCCGAUGCAAUCCAUACACAUACAUGCUACCACACACACACCCAAGUCAUUGCUUCUGAAGAAGAUGUUAACCCAGACAAUAGAGAGCAUUCAAGAAAAAGGCCAGCAGGAAAUAGGGAAGCAGUUCGAAAGUAUAGGGAAAAGAAGAAGGCACAUACAGCUUACUUAGAAGAGGAAAUAAAGAAAUUGCAUUUAUUGAACCAGCAGCUGGUGAAGAAAAUACAACGGCAGGCAAUUCUUGAAGCCGAGGUUUUGAGGCUAAGAAGCAUUCUGGUGGACCUGAGGGGAAAGAUCGACACUGAGUUGGGUGUUUUUCCAUUCCAAAACCAGUGCAACACCACCACUGUUUUGAAGGAAGGUGAUUGUGGAGCGCAGUCCACUGGUGGGCUAAUGAAUCUACAGUGUCAGUCAGAUUCACCAUGCUUCCGUACCCCUACAAUAGUAAAUUGUCAAGCUAACACAAAUAAUACGGCAGAUGCUGCAAUGGACAUGGUGGAAGCCAUCGUGCCAUCUGCCUCUCAAGCUCAAUAACCAGAGGGAAAGACAAUAUCUGUAGUUAAUAGAGCAUGCUCCUCGAUUGCUAUGAUGCAGAGGCUGGCAUCCUCUGCUUGAUGAAAUGAGUGAGAAUUAGAUCAAAAUCUGGAAGAGCAGCUACUCUUUUGCGCUAGGGUACCUACUGAUUCAACACUAACUACAAAACCAAGUCACCAGUAAGAUGAAUGAAAGCUAAUUCAAAAUUGCGGCAACUGCAAAGCAGAUAUGAGCGUAGAGAAAAUGAAGACAUUAAUGGCAGAGAGUGGGGAGAGCAAUGGACGGUAUUCUACUGUUCUAAAACAUUCAACACUCAGAGGCUCACAGGGCUGAAAUUCGGAUGAAACAAUGGACUAGAGGUUUGACAGCCCACAAGGUUCAACUGUAAAGCUAGGCUAGUCCUAGGGCAAACCAGGAUGGCUGUUGGACUCGUUUCUUUGAGAUGGGUCAGUUUCAUCUGCACAAAAUGGCCUUGUAUAAGUUCAAUUGGGCGAGGAAAACAACCUGGGCCGCUUUCUAUAGGUAUUGAGGGGGAUUCCAAGCAGAUAGAUUGAAUCACAGAUGGGAUCAGAGCAGUGAAUGGUACUAUUUAAUACCUGCAGGAUCUUGUCAGGUUUUAAAGAUACCCUCCACGAUCUUGUUUGUUGUUUCCUGAUUAACAAAAUGUCCGUGUAAUGUUAAGAAACAUGAGCAACUUGGUGGUGCCCUGCUGCUAUUUAACUAACCACCAACAAACUAUUUGUAAAGACUUGAAGCAACAUUAAUAAACCCUAGAAUCAGAGGUAUCAUCACCA